rnacentral:rRNA from 1 species
AGCGAACGCUGGCGGCAGGCCUAACACAUGCAAGUCGAACGAAGUCUUCGGACUUAGUGGCGGACGGGUGAGUAACACGUGGGAACGUGCCUUUAGGUUCGGAAUAACUCAGGGAAACUUGUGCUAAUACCGAAUGUGCCCCUCGGGGGAAAGAUUUAUCGCCUUUAGAGCGGCCCGCGUCUGAUUAGCUAGUUGGUGAGGUAAAGGCUCACCAAGGCGACGAUCAGUAGCUGGUUUGAGAGGAUGAUCAGCCACAUUGGGACUGAGACACGGCCCAAACUCCUACGGGAGGCAGCAGUGGGGAAUCUUGCGCAAUGGGCGAAAGCCUGACGCAGCCAUGCCGCGUGAAUGAUGAAGGUCUUAGGAUUGUAAAAUUCUUUCACCGGGGACGAUAAUGACGGUACCCGGAGAAGAAGCCCCGGCUAACUUCGUGCCAGCCGCCGCCGUAA